rnacentral:rRNA from 1 species
GAUGAACGCUGGCGGCGUGCUUAACACAUGCAAGUCGAACGAAUCAGCCUUCGGGUUGGUUAGUGGCGGACGGGUGCGUAACACGUAGGUGACCUGCCCUAAAGUGGGGAAUAACUCCGCUAACGCGGAGCUAAUACCGCAUGUGGUUACUCAUUCGAUUGGGUAACUAAAGUCGAGAGAUGCUUUAGGAUGGGCCUGCGGCGGAUUAGCUAGUUGGUGGGGUAACGGCCUACCAAGGCGAUGAUCCGUAGGGGGCGUGAGAGCGUGACCCCCCACAUUGGCACUGAGACACGGGCCAAACUCCUACGGGAGGCAGCAGUGAGGAAUAUUGCACAAUGGGCGAAAGCCUGAUGCAGCAACGCCGCGUGAGGGACGAAGGCCUUCGGGUCGUAAACCUCUUUUCUGAGGGACGAGACAAGGACGGUACCUCAGGAAUAAGUCUCGGCUAACUACGUGCCAGCAGCCGCGGUAAAACGUAGGAGGCGAGCGUUAUCCGGAUUUACUGGGCGUAAAGCGCGCGCAGGCGGCUUGGUAAGUUGGACGUGAAAGCUCCUGGCUUAACUGGGAGAGGCCGUUCGAAACUGCCAGGCUUGAGGUUGGGAGGGGGGUGCGGAAUUCCCGGUGUAGUGGUGGAAUGCGUAGAUAUCGGGAGGAACACCAGUGGCGAAGGCGGCACCCUGGCCCACACCUGACGCUGAGGUGCGAAAGCGUGGGGAGUAAACAGGAUUAGAUACCCUGGUAAUCCACGCCGUAAACGAUGUCAACUAGGUGUCGGUGGUGUUACACUAUCGGUGCCGAAGCAAACGCGUUAAGUUGACCGCCUGGGGACUACGGCCGCAAGGCUA